GUCUUGGUAGCUCAGAUGGAAGAGCACCGGGCUAGCGUUCCGGUGGUCGUGGGACUCGUGGGUUUAAGUCCCACCCAAGACA